AUGUAAUGUAAUGCCUACAACGUUAAUGCACUGAAUCCCAUUAGAAAUCCACAGUUAAGUGCAGUUGGGCUAGAGUAGUAUUCAUAUGGGUGACCUCCCAAGAAGUCCUAGUGUUUUACAUG
rfam:Picea glauca, whole genome shotgun sequence.